GUUUACAUAUACAAGUCACCACCUCCUCCAUCACCUACUUAUGUUUACAAGUCACCACCACCACCAGUGAAGUCACCUCCCUAUUACUAUCAAUCUCCACCUCCACCAUCACCAAAACCUCAGCCUCCUUAUUAUUAUCACUCUCCACCUCCUCCAACACCAGUUGUUAAGCCACCAUACUACUACCAAUCUCCACCUCCUCCAUCUCCAAAACCUAAGCCUCCAUACUACUACCAAUCUCCUCCUCCUCCAUCACCAAAACCUAAACCUCCUUACUACUACCAAUCUCCACCUCCUCCAUCACCAAAACCUCAGCCUCCAUACUACUAUCAAUCUCCACCUCCUCCAACACCAGUUGUGAAGCCACCAUACUACUACCAAUCUCCACCUCCUCCAUCACCAAAACCUCAGCCUCCUUACUAUUACCAAUCUCCACCUCCUCCAACACCAGUUGUUAAGCCACCAUACUACUAUAAAUCUCCACCUCCCCCAUCACCCUCUCCUCCACCACCAUACUACUACAAAUCUCCACCACCACCAUCCCCAUCACCGCCACCUCCAUACUACUAUAAAUCUCCACCUCCACCAUCACCGGUUGUUAAGCCACCAUACUACUAUAAAUCCCCACCUCCCCCAUCACCCUCUCCUCCCCCUCCAUACUACUAUAAAUCUCCACCUCCAUACUACUACCACUCUCCACCUCCACCAUCACCAGUUGUUAAGCCACCAUACUACUACAAAUCUCCACCUCCACCAUCACCCUCACCUCCCCCUCCAUACUACUAUAAAUCUCCACCCCCACCUUCACCAUCCCCUCCUCCUCCAUACUAUUAUAAAUCACCACCACCACCAUCCCCAUCACCGCCACCUCCAUACUAUUACAAAUCCCCUCCACCUCCAUCCCCAUCUCCACCGCCUCCUUAUUACUAUCACAGUCCUCCUCCACCAUCUCCCACUCCUCAUCCUCCCUACUACUACAAAUCCCCUCCACCACCAACGUCCUAUCCUCCACCUCCUUACCACUAUGUGAGCCCUCCACCACCUUCUCCAUCUCCACCUCCACCAUACUAUUACAAAUCAC
rnacentral:lncRNA from 1 species